UCAGUGUUGACCAGCCCCUCCUUCACUGAGUGAGACACUAGGACAGUCUGCCAUCAUGGUGACUGCAGCGAUACUCACAUGAAUCAGAGGUGAUAAUCACUGAGGAAGGUUCAUUAUCCCUCCAGAACAUUGCAAGCAUGAUAAUUAAUUAAUCAACCAGCGCCUGACCUCAUUCCACACUUGGUCUACUUACAAAGGGGAUGAGAGACAUUCUGACAUAGUUACUACAUCCUGACAACACAUUUGCCUCACCUGCUGUGAUGUCACUUCCUGUAUGUUUGCAGUGAAACCCCGGGCAGUGCUGCUGUGCUGCUCCUGUCUCUCCAGCACAGGCAUGUGAAGAUGGCUGGAGUUUUUAUUGUGUUCACGGCAUUGCUGCUGUGUGUCCCAGAUUUAAAUGGUAUCAAGAUUGUCCAGUCCCCUCCUUCACUGUUUGCGAGUCCUGGACACUCUGCUGGACUCCAGUGCUAUCACGGUGAUACCAACUAUGACCGCAUGUACUGGUACCAGCAAACAAGGAAAGGAGCUUUGGAACUGAUUGGGUAUGAAUUUGUCACAAUAAGCCAUGAAGACAAGUUUAAAGAAAGAUUCCAAAUGUCUGGGAAAGCAACAGAGAAGGGCUUUUUAACCAUUUCCAAUAUAACAGCUGAAGACAGUGCUGUGUACAUCUGUGCAGCCAGCAAACACAGUGCUGCAGAUCCCCUCUCUCCUCUACAAUAACCCUGCCUAGCCACAACCUCACCAGCGCUCACAUAAGAACACGUCAUUUCACCACCUGGCUUUCCAAUCUAACCCUUGAGCCCUUGAGUGCUGCUGGUAUGUUGUAAUAAGAAGUGACCAGCAGAGGGCAACAUUGCAAAACAAAUAGAUACAACAUCUUGGC